rnacentral:rRNA from 1 species
UAGAACUGUAGUUUUAAAAUCUUGAUUAGUAUUAGUUAUAUUCUUGAAAAUUAAAAAAUUUGGCGGUAUUUUAGUCAAUUCAGAGGAACCUGUUUUAUAAUUGAUAGUCCACGAUAAGAUUAACUUACUUUUUAUUUGUAUAUCGUUGUUUAGAAUUUCUUUUUUGGGUUAAAUUUUCUAUUUUAAAAUAUUAAUUAAUUUCAGAUCAAGGUGCAGUUUAUAAGUAAGAAUUAAUGGGUUAUAAUAAAUUUAUUUUUGGUUAUUUAUUUUAAAUUUUAAAUAAAAUUAGGAUUUGAUUGUAAUUUAAAGAAUUUUCUUUAAGUGAUCAUUGUUCUAAAAUAUGU